GACGUAGGGCGCGAGCGUUGUCCGGAUUUAUUGGGCGUAAAGAGCUCGUAGGCGGCUUGUCGCGUCGUCUGUGAAAUCCCGCGGCUCAACCGCGGGUCUGCAGUCGAUACGGGCAGGCUAGAGUUCGGUAGGGGAGACUGGAAUUCCUGGUGUAGCGGUGAAAUGACGCAGAUAUCAGGAGGAACACCGGUGGCGAAGGCGGGUCUCUGGGCCGAUACUGACGCUGAGGAGCGAAAGCGUGGGGGAGCAAACAGG
rnacentral:rRNA from 1 species